CUACGGGGUGCUGCAGUGAGGAAUAUUGCACAAUGGGGGGAACCCUGAUGCAGCAAUGCCGCGUGGAGGAUGACGCAUUUCGGUGUGUAAACUCCUUUUAUAUGUCAAGAAAAUGACGGUAGCAUAUGAAUAAGCACCGGCUAACUCCGUGCCAGCAGCCGCGGUAAUACGGAGGGCGCAAGCGUUACUCGGAAUCACUGGGCGUAAAGGACGCGUAGGCGGGUUGGAAAGUCAGGUGUGAAAUCCUACAGCUUAACUGUAGAACUGCACUUGAAACUUCUAAUCUAGAGUAUGGGAGGGGGAGAUGGAAUUAGUGGGGUAGGGGUAAAAUCCGUAGAUAUCACUAGGAAUACCUAAAGCGAAGGCGAUCUCCUGGAACAUUACUGACGCUAAGGCGUGAAAGCGUGGGGAGCAAACAGGAUUAGAUACCCUCGUAGUC
rnacentral:rRNA from 1 species